UCCCCAAGCUCUCCCUCCUCCACGAGCUCGACGUCAGCAACAACCUCCUCUCCGGCGGCUUCCCGCAGCACAUCCUCUGCCUCCCCAACGUCAAGUACGUGGACAUCAGGUUCAACAACCUCUGCGGCCCCGUGCCCCCGGCCAUCUUCGACAAGAAGAUCGACGCGCUCUUCAUCAACGACAACCACUUCGACUUCGAGCUGCCUGAAAACUUUGGCAACUCCCCCGCCUCGGUCAUCGUGCUCGCCAACCUCCGCCUCCGUGGCUGCAUCCCCGCCAGCGUCGGGCGCAUGGGUGGCACGCUCAACGAGCUCCUCAUGAUCAACUCCGGCAUUCGAUCCUGCAUCCCGCAGGAGAUUGGGUGGCUACGCGAGCUCACCGUGCUGGACGUGAGCUUUAACCAGCUCCAGGGAACGCUGCCGGAGUCUAUGGCCGGGAUGCACGCGCUGGAGCAGCUCGACGUCGCGCACAACGAGCUCACCGGACACAUACCGGAGGGGAUCUGUGCGCUGCCGCGGCUGGCCAACUUCACCUACUCAUACAACUACUUCUGCGGCGAGCCGGAGCGGUGCACGGCGCUUCGGCGCAACGACGACCGGCAGAACUGCAUCGCCGGCCGGCCGGACCAGCGGCCGGCGGACCAGUGCCUCGCGUUCCUACACCGCCCGCCGGUGCACUGCGACGGGCACGGCUGCUUGGCACAACACUAGUAGAAAUUCAUUCAUUUGGUGGUGUAAAAUGGGCGGAGAUUUCAAUCGUCGUAUAUAUACACACA
rnacentral:lncRNA from 1 species